AGAAAAGGGUCUGCCGGUCUGUCUGCUGCUAUGGAGUCGGGAGAAGAGGAGGAGAAGGAGGAGGAGGAGCGGGUUCCUCCUAUUGCAACAACUCCACCACAUCGUGGCUGGAGCGAAGAAUCAUUAAGCCGCAGCAGUAGCGAAACCCAGGCAUCAGUUACCAGUGGGAUCUCCCUAGGAGAAGCAAUACGUCAGAAAACUGCCACUAAUCGGGAAAUCGAGUCAUGGUAUCAACUUCCAGCAGAAGUGGAUGCCAGCCAUUUAACUGCUGCCUCGGAGACAAAGCUUGGCCUGACUUGCAAUAGAAAUGACCUGACGGAGUUCCCUACGCUGGAGGAAGGACUGUUGCCUUCAGCAGAAGGAUCUAGAAGGCAGUCUCCUGGACAUACAGCACAUGGCUUACUGCUGGAUAUUCAGGACAGUCAAUUCUCUCCUUGUCUUCCACUGCUAAUGUAUUCAACACAAGGCCAAAGAUUUUCAGAUGAGACGCUUCUCCAGCAAUCAGAAAUGAAUUUUAUUCCCUUAAGAGGAGUUCCUGAUGUUUCUGGUGCGUCUGAGGAGCAUUCAAAGCCUUCGCACAUCCCUGAAGCUUGGUUAUUGACAGACACAGACUCUGCACCCAGUGACUGCUUUGUUUUGUCCCAGCAUCCUCUUCCAUUCAGACAUGUGGAACCUUGUGAUGCCAGUUGUUUGUCUCAGCAAACCUCUUUUUCUGGACAACUACUUGUGAGCAAGGAGGCAAAUGUAGACUGUAGAAAUGGUACUAAUGAGGAGGCAUUGAUUCCCCACACAAGUGGCAAUUUAGCAAACUCCACUUCAAAGGUGAUGCUAACCAAGGCAAAUAGACUGAGCCAAAUGAAAACUUCUCUUGCAAAGCAGACCUGCAGUAUAUCUGUAAAAGAUGAACAUUUCUCCUGUGACAGCAAUGUACCAGCCACUGGUUUUGAGCUUUCAGAGAAGGAAAAAGGGUUACUGAGGCAUGAUGAGUUCUCGUCUUCAGAAAACUCCGCUUGUAAAACAGCACUGACUAAGAAUUCAGAAAAAAGUGAAAGAGACAUGCAAAAGGAGAAGGUAAAAAUGGCUGAGAGUGAGUCAGAAGGGUGCAUGAGGCAGCCAGAGAAGCUGGAAAAAGAAAAGAAGGUUCCUGAGCUUGAUUUGUCUAAUAAUUUAUCUGAUGAUUUGAGGAAAGACAGUUGUAAAAAUUCAGAUGCUCAAGAUGUUUUUUCUGCAAAGACUUCUGAAACAGGCAAAAGAGCGUCGAAGGAACAUGGAGUGCAUUUAAAUGGCUCUGAAAGCUUGAAGUUCGUGGCUGUUACUGAGGCACUCCAGGGACCUUUCCUAGAUCAUCAGCAGAAACAACUGUCUCCUGCAGUGAGAUUUGAGAAAGAGGAGUUUAUCCCUACCGUGACAAGUACCAGUGAUUGUGCACCUAAACAGCUAGUUGUGACUGACGUGGAAGCUCCUUCUUCAUGCAAUGAGGAUGCCCCAGUGGAAGUAGAACCUGGAGUAAGCAGGAGUGAAUUAACUAUUUCAGAUUUUUCCAUAGAAAGGGGACACAAAGUUACAGGUGUUUCCCCUUCCUUGAAUCUUGUAGGUGAUGGCUCAUUCUCUGUACAUAUUGCUCAUCCAAGCUAUCAGUCUACUCCAGGGUUACUUCUAAAGAAAAAUGUUAAGGCAGAAGAACUUGGUGUCACUGUGAUUAAAUCAGAUAUUCAGGCCUCUCCUUCAUGCUUAAAUGAAGAAACUUCAGGGAACUCAUCUACCACUACACCUACAUCUGUUGAGAAGCAGCAUUCACUCCAAUAUGCUGAGAAAGAAAACAAUGAACAUUUUGAGUCCUUAAAAUUGAAAUAUCCCUACACUGGAAGAAUUCAGUCUCUCCCAUCACUUAGUUUCAUGGAGAAGGUAGGGGCUUGGAACGUGAGCCAGCCAGAGGAGGUAUCUGAUACAGGGACUUCAUGUGACCCAGGCGGAGUUUCUCCUAGAAGGAAAGUCUACAGUGCAAUUGCCAGUUCUUCAAACAAUAUUUUGUCAAUACAAAAAAGCGGUAGAGACCCCAAAGAUAAUGUUGCUGCUUCCUUUAGAGAGACAGGUUCCCUGGGAAGUUUGUGUUUUCACAAUAAAAACUUACUGCUUGUCCACCCUCUUACUAGAUCUCAGUCUGACAAUGUGGUAAAUGUUUCCAGUAGGAAUGUGUCUUUGGUUGAAGUUUUUCUGCCAGCAAACUCAACAGAGGCAGUGCAGCCUCUAGAAGAAAAAAGUAAUGUUUUAGGGGUGCCUGAAAAUAGUUCAGGAGGCUCCAUGAUACAAAAGUUUACAGCUGAGAUUGUUUCUGGAUCUAGCGGUGA